GGCAAGUACAGGCAGACCGGUAGGCAGACAGGUAAAGAACAGACAAAAGGCAGAUAGGUUACUGGCUGGCAGUGGUGGAAGCAGGGGAGUUAGUCCAAGGUCGCAAACAGUUCACAAGGGAGCAGGCAAAAUACAAAACUCCAGGAUCCAGCCAAGGUCUAAGGGAGACAAAGAAUCCAAUACAAACUCACGGUAAGAAUGCUGGGGAACUGGGCACAGGAACCAGGUACAACAAAAGGAGCACCAAACAGCGACACUCACAAAGGUCAGGAACAUCCCAAGACAGGAAGAAAACUCACGGUAGGAAUCACUCAGCAGGAACAACACCAUGUGAAACAACAUUGAUCCAACACUGAACAAGGAAAGAGACCCAGACUAAAUACCCUAGGGGAGGUGAGACAACGAGACACAGGUGCAAACAAUCAAGGAAGGACCAAGGGCCAGGUGGGAGACUUCGGGCGGACGGCCCAGGGGCUGGACAUGUGCAGAGCUGAGGACGUCGGGCGGACCUCGGGCGGACGGGCGGACCGCCCGCCCCCAGGGACAGAGGGCUGCUGCGAUCCAGCAGGGAGUGAUGGCUGCUGCGAUCCAGCUGUGACUGGAGGCCGCCGCCGUGGCGCUGGGCCGCUGCGCAGGCGAACAGCUGGGCAGGCGAGCAACUGUGGGAGCCAUGCUUCCUCCUGGAGCAUUUCCCAGAAGGCGCCGAGAAAGCAACAGACUGAUGUGCCCCCUGGCUUGCAGGCUGAGAUGCUGAGAGACUAGCACGUAGGAGGAGCAGUUGCCAGGCAACCAGUGGAGAUUCCAGGAAGUAACUGGUCCAAGAAAUAAUCUGGCACAUAACCCCCCGUAGCAGGUCUCUGAACUUGCUGACCUCCUACGCCAUAAUUUAAGUUGCUUAUACCCAGUAAUGAAAUAAGGCCUGCUUGUAUUUAAU